rnacentral:rRNA from 1 species
UGUGUAGGCGGUCCUCUAAGUUUGGUGUGAAAUCUCCCGGCUUAACCGGGAGGGUGCGCCGAAAACUGGGGGACUAGAGUGCGGGAGGGGAGAGUGGAAUUCCUGGUGUAGCGGUGAAAUGCGUAGAUAUCAGGAGGAACACCGGUGGUGUAGACGGCUCUCUGGACCGUAACUGACGCUGAGACACGAAAGCGUGGGUAGCAAACAGGAUUAGAUACCCUGGUAGUCCACGCCCUAAACGAUGCAUAUUUGGUGUAGGUCAUUCAGUUGAUCUGUGCCGGAGCUAACGCGUUAAAUAUGCCGCCUGGGGAGUACAGUCGCAAGGCUGAA